rnacentral:rRNA from 1 species
UACGUAGGGUGCGAGCGUUAAUCGGAAUUACUGGGCGUAAAGUGUGCGCAGGCGGCCGAGCAAGUCGAGUGUGAAAGCCCCGAGCUUAACUUGGGAACUGCGCUCGAAACUACUUGGCUAGAGUGUGGCAGAGGGAGGUGGAAUUCCACGUGUAGCGGUGAAAUGCGUAGAGAUCGGAAGGAACGUCGAUGGCGAAGGCAGCCACCUGGCAUAAUACUGACGCUGAGGCGCGAAAGCGUGGGGAGCAAACAGG